UACGUAGGGGGCUAGCGUUGUCCGGAAUCAUUGGGCGUAAAGCGCGUGUAGGCGGCUUGGUAAGUCCGCUCUGAAAGCCCGAGGCUCAACCUCGGGAGGCGGGUGGAUACUGCCGGGCUCGAGUCCGGAAGAGGCGAGUGGAAUUCCCGGUGUAGCGGUGAAAUGCGCAGAUAUCAGGAAGAACACCCGUGGCGAAGGCGGCUCUCUGGGACGGUACUGACGCUGAGACGCGAAAGCGUGGGGAGCGAACAGG
rnacentral:rRNA from 1 species